GCCCUCGUAGCUCAAUGGUAGAGCGCGUCACUAGUAAUGACGAGGUUGCCGGUUCGAUUCCGCCCGGGGGCA
rnacentral:tRNA from 1 species